UACGUAGGGUGCGAGCGUUAAUCGGAAUUACUGGGCGUAAAGCGUGCGCAGGCGGUUUUGUAAGCCAGAUGUGAAAGCCCCGGGCUCAACCUGGGAAUGGCAUUUGGGACUGCAAGGCUUGAGUGCGGCAGAGGAGACUGGAAUUCCUGGUGUAGCAGUGAAAUGCGUAGAGAUCGGGAGGAACAUCUGUGGCGAAGGCGGCCAUCUGGACCAGCACUGACACUGAGGCACGAAAGCGUGGGGAGCAAACAGG
rnacentral:rRNA from 1 species